rnacentral:rRNA from 1 species
CCUACGGGAGGCAGCAGUGGGGAAUUUUGGACAAUGGGCGAAAGCCUGAUCCAGCCAUACCGCGUGCGGGAAGAAGGCCUUCGGGUUGUAAACCGCUUUUGUCAGGGAAGAAAUGCUCCGGGUUAAUACCCUGGGGUGAUGACGGUACCUGAAGAAUAAGCACCGGCUAACUACGUGCCAGCAGCCGCGGUAAUACGUAGGGUGCAAGCGUUAAUCGGAAUUACUGGGCGUAAAGCGUGCGCAGGCGGUUCUAUAAGACAGAUGUGAAAUCCCCGGGCUCAACCUGGGAACUGCAUUUGUGACUGUAGAGCUAGAGUACGGUAGAGGGGGAUGGAAUUCCGCGUGUAGCAGUGAAAUGCGUAGAUAUGCGGAGGAACACCGAUGGCGAAGGCAAUCCCCUGGACCUGUACUGACGCUCAUGCACGAAAGCGUGGGGAGCAAACAGGAUUAGAUACCCUGGUAGUCCACGCCCUAAACGAUGUCAACUGGUUGUUGGGAGGGUUUCUUCUCAGUAACGAAGCUAACGCGUGAAGUUGACCGCCUGGGGAGUACGGCCGCAAGGUUGAAACUCAAAGGAUUGACGG